UGCUCGCGCAGGGUGGCGGGCCAGGCGCGGUUGAGAUCCGCGUAGCUGCGCCCGGUUCCGCGGCCGGUGCCGGCGCCGGCGGCGAACAG
rnacentral:tRNA from 1 species